AAUGAACCUGGGUCGUUUACAUUUCAGAAGCUCUAAUGCCUAACUCAGGGUUUGGCUCAGAGUAAAUGCUUAAUAAAUGUUUAUUGAAAGAACAACCUAACAUUUGCACAGUCAACAAAGCUCUUUGUUAUACAUUAGCUCAUUUCAUUUUUAAAGAAUCCUCUGAGGUGGGCAGGGGUAAGCAUUCUCGUGUUGUAAAGGGGAAACUAAGGCUUUGAGAGGAGUGUGGCUUGCACAGUGUCACGUAGCUAGUGGCAGCAGUGCCAGAAUUCAAACCCAAAAGUCUCUGGCUCCAAAGUCUGUGCUUGUAAAGCGAUACUUUGUCUACCUCAUGGCUUUCAGGAUGGGAAAGAAAGCAAUAGGGUUUUAAAAUAUGUUCUCCCCCCUUCUUUUUUUUAGGGUAUUUAUUACUAAAAGUGUUUUAAAACUGGACCACUGAGUAAAGUCACUCCAUCUCCUACUGUUCCUAGCACAGUGCUUGAUAAAUAUUUGCUGGCUCAUUCAGCUGCAGCUGCAGAGACCUACCUGUGUUUGCUGUGGCGACUGUCUGGGCCAAAGCUCAGGCAGCUGGAAGUAUCAGUGAAGCCAGAAGAUUCUAGCUGUCCAGGGUCUGUGAGGAGGAGUCAAGGUCUGGGGUUUGUGUCCUCUGCAUAGCAAUGGCACUGCAAUGGGGGAGCCUGGUGCUGGGCUGGGCCGUCUCGUCACUGUCACCUGCCCGUUGAGGGGUGACAGUGGUUCUUGAGAGGCUGGAUCAGACCCCAGAGGUGACAUGGAUGUGACAUAUUUGUUGGACUUACACAGCCUUGCAUUUUAUUUUCAUCUCUGUUCCUUCCUCCCAUGAGAUCUUGGGUGGUGUUUAUCAACCCUGAGUAAUCGUUUCUUCAUCUGCAAGAUGGAAUAAAAAGGCCUACCUCAUUGGGCUCGUGUGGGUGAGGAGAACUGAAGAGUCUGAGAGCGCGGCACGAGCCAGAGGCUACGGAAAACACUGCCCUCCUACACUCCACCUUGGAGAGACCCAGAAAAGAACAAGCUUCAUUUGUAAAAAAGGAAAACAGCUCAUGGGGGUGGCUUAAAGGCACUCUACAGUGUGCAGAUGCCUUCUACUUCUUCCAUCUGCCCUGUCUUUCCAAGAACCCCUAUGGCCCCAGGCUCAGAACAGAGCUGAGUGCAGAAAUGAAAAUCUAUGGCUCUGUGUUCCAAAAUGAUGAAGAAUUUCAAGAUGGUGGCAGUGGUAAAAUCCUUCUCCAGGAAAAAUCUGUCCUUGGCCCAAUGUGUAAACACUUGCUGAGGAACUUGGAAUAACUUGCAGUGUCUUGCAGUAUUGUGAAACCAGCAACUUGUUCACAAUUCUUCUGAAUUUCUUGGGAAAUUUGAAGUGGAGUACCUGUACCAACAUGAAAUGACACGAAUUUAAGUGAAGCUCAACAACGAAAAGCAAAAAGAACCAAAGAGGAAGCAACUGAAACAACAUCUGGAUGUAUUUAAAAAUAUACAAUGCCUCCAAAAUCAGGUGUCAUUAAUGAAAAUUCUGAAGAAAUGCCACCGGACAUAGCCAACACACCUACGCUAUUGUUAUUCAUUUCCUGCUUUUCACAGAAAACAAUUUUGUUGCAUGGAAGAUUGUGAACUUCAAAGAGCAGAGGGGAAACUCUCCCUUGGCCCCUACCCCUCCAAGGCCCCACUUUUUCGUCAACACUCCUUGGACGCAGCAGAAGUAUGAACAUAAUAUGGUCCUGAAUGAGGCUGAGUCUUUGGGCGCAGAAGACCCGGGUUAAUAAAAAUAGGAAGGUAAGAAAAGAAAAGAAAAAUCAAGACACAUCAUAGGACUAAAUUCCUAUUAUUUAUCCACUCAGGAUUGACCACCCUUUUGGGCCAGAUAGUUGUACCCCCAUGUACCAGGUGGGCACAUGAAGACACAAGAAGUGCUGUGAUGGUUCAUUUUGCAUGUCACCUUGCGUGGAGUAUGCCAACUCAUUGUUUGGUCAAAUGCUAGUCUGGACAUGGUGGUAAAGGUAUUUUUUAGAUGAGAUUAACGCUUAAAUCAGUAAAGCAGGUUACCCACCAUACUAUGGGUGGGCCCUGUCCAAUCAGUUGAAGGCAUUAAGAACAAAGAUUGAGGUUUCCUAAAGAAGAUGGAAUUCUCCUUGAGACUACAACAUAGAAACCCUAUCUGAGUUUCCAGCCUGCUGCCCUGUGGAAUUCGAACUCAGGACUCCAGUCUAUGACAUUAACCCUCACUUAACUUUUCAGCCUGCCAGCCUGCCCUAUGGAUUUCAGACUUGCCAGCCACACAAUUCCUUAAAAUAAAUCUCUCUGUCUC
rnacentral:lncRNA from 1 species